AUUAGGUUAAGUUAAUAAGGGCGCACGGUGAAUGCCUUGGCACUAGGAGUCGACGAAGG
rnacentral:rRNA from 1 species